ACCGAAAAUUAUUGAUUUUACCACACCAAAAAUUAACCGGGCCGAUAUCACGUGAUAUAAUCAAGCAUAAACGUUUCGAGCAUUAAGAGAUCGGUUCUACUUUCUUUCUUUCUUUGAAAUUGUAUGCAAAAUGAAAUCCAGAACAAAUGCAGGAGUUCUUCGUGUUGAUCGUCUUCCAUUAAAUGCAACUCCUGGUGACAUUCGAAGGCACUUUAAAGAUCAUGGAGCAAGACCUGAAGAUAUUCAUCUUGUUCUUGAAGCAGAUGGUAAGCACAAUGGGUCUGCUUUUCUUACAUUUACUAAUCAAGGUGAUGCUGCUCAUGGUUUAAAUGCUAAUGACUCCUUACUCAAGGAUAAAAGAUUGGCUGUAAAUGAAAGCAAUCCAGCUGAAUUUAAUAAGUAUUUUCCUGGAGUGCCUAUGUUUUCCUAUAUUAGAGGAAGUGAAAGAAGAAGGGGAGGUUCAGGAAAACGAAAAUCGGGUUUCUCAAGAGGUAGAGAGCCAAGUGGCUUUAAUUCUUCAGCACCCUUUGGUGAAGGUUCAAUUCGUGAGCAGAGUAGGGACAGUUUAAGUAAAUUAAGUAAUGAAGAUCGAUUUAUGAAUAGAAGAGGCAGUCGGGACAGCCCACGACGAGGUAGAUCACGAUCUCCACUUAGAACAGAUCAAAGUACCAGAGACUUGUUUUUAAAAAACUUUGGCCAUAAUGAUCGUAGGGAUCAACCUGCAGAUCAUAGACGAUCUGAGAGUCGAAAUGGAGAUAGAGGCAAAAACAAUUAUGACAAUUUUGAUAAAAUAAAUGAAAGAAAGUUUGUUUUUAUAGGUGAACUUCCAUACAAUGCAACUGAGGUUGACAUACAGGAUUUCUUCAGACCAGUACUCACAAGAGAUAUUUUUUUAAUCAGAAAUAAAGUUGGAAAGUAUAUUGGUAAACCUAAUGGCAAUGCUGUUGUUGAAUUUUUUUCUGAAAGUGAUGCCAGAGAAGUACUCAAAUGUGAUGGUAAAAGGUUCGGCCAAAGAAAUGCUGUUGUUCAAAGAGCACGAAAAGAGGAAAUUAUUUCUGCUAUUGAAGAGAACCAAAUGCAUUCUUUAAAUAGGCCUCUACCACCACCAGGAAAUAUAGUUCCAGAUAUUUCAAAUUUAGCUGCUGCUAAUUCAAAUCCUCAAGUACAAGCGCUAUUGACUUUAUUAACUGCUACUGUAAAUAGUCUUGCUGGAUCUGCCUUUCCAAUGGUACCACCCUCUGAUGUUCCUGAUAUGGGAAGAUCUUUUCGAGGUGGUCUCCCUGAAAGACGGAGAAGAAGGAGUGAUCCAAUAAUUGGUCGAGUAGCUAGCAGUGCAAACAUUGAUGUAAAUGACAUUAAAAUGGGAAGAGCAGUAGGAAUAAGAAAUCUGCCCUAUGAAGUAACUCCAGACGAAAUAUUACAGUUUUUCAGAAAUUUUCCAGUAAUAGCAGACUCAGUAAGAAUACAUUACUUAGAAGAUGGAAGAUGCUCAGGUGAUGCUAUUAUUUCAUUUCGCGGGAGUAGAGAUGCAAGAGAUGCAGUUCAAGCUUUAAAUAGAAAAAAUCUUGGAAGAAGAAAAGUUGAAUUAUUCUUUUUAUAAUUGAAAAGUAAGAAAAAACAUGGCAGUAUUUUAAAUGAUUUUAUUUUAAUUUGUUUAUUGUUGGAGAGAACUGGAUUUUAACAUAAAAGUAAAAAUAUCUUCUAUUUGUAUUAUUCUUUUGCGGAGAGAAAAAAAGAAGAAGCAUUUUUAGUUAAAAGAAAUUAAAAAAAAAGUUUUUCAAUAAGACUUUGAAUUAAAAAAAAAAGUUUUUUGUUUUUUUGUUUUUUUUUCUUUAAUUUGAUUAUAGUUCAGAGAUUUAAGCAGAAACUAAGAAGAAAAACUGAUAUUAAAUCACCAAUGUAUUGUGAAUUUGUAUUAAAAGAAAAGAAAGAAACUUUGAGUUUUAUAUAACAGAAUUGUGAUUGAUUAAAAUUGUCAGAUUGUCUCAAAGUUGGAAUAGUUUUCUGUAUGUAAUUUUAGGAAACUUUUCCUAUUUGCUAAAAACUUUCUUUAUAAAAGUUUUUUUUAAAAAGUAAUUUUUAGUAAUUUACCAACUUGAAUAGUAGAGAAUAAACUUCAAUGAGAAUAUUUAUUUUGGAAAGGUAAGUUUUAGGAAAGAGAGAACUAAUUAAACUAAGUCACCAUUUUUAUAACUUGUAAUUUGUAACAAAGUGAAGAAGUUCUUGAGAAGAAGGUAAGUGAACACUGAAAGAAGAUGCUUCUUUUCAGUUUUUAUUUUAAAGUGAAAACUUUUUUUCCUUAGUUAAAGAGAAUGAUAAUAGAAUUGGAUUCAUAAAUUUUUGAAAGUAUAUAAAAAGAAGAAUAAAUAGAUUAUAAAAAGAAGAAUAAAAAGAUUUCAUCACUUAAAAAGUUAAAAAGUAGUGUUAAGUAAUGACAAACAUGUAAUGAGAUGAGCACAGAUUUAUGAAAUAGCUUGGAAUUUGUUGGUAUUGGAAACUAUUAAGUUAUAUUGCUGAGUUGUCUGAUGUAUCAAGUAAGUGUUUGAUUUUUUCUUCAAUUAAUGGCCAUGUAUAAAUGGCAUGUAAAUCAAACUGAAGGAGAUACUUUGCAGUUUAUUAUAACAUUAGAUUUUUUUUUGUUUUUUCAUUGCAAGAUGGCUGCUUCAUUUUCAACAUAAGUUUUGAUAUUUUGAAUAUGAUUUUUUUCAUAUAAAAUGAUAAGCAAUUGAGUUUAUUUAAAAAAAGAUUUUUAAAUGUAUUUUUUUUUUCAUUUAAAAGAGCAGCAGAUGAAUGCCAGAUUUUUGAUUCUACUGUGAAAUCUUUUUACUUAAAGUCAAAUUAAUUUUUCAGGAAAAAAACAACAGAUUGAAGUUUUGUAUUAUAGAAAAUGCAACAACUUGAGAAAGGAUAUUUGGAACUUGAUUUUUAAUGCAUUGAGAUUUUGAAUUGAUCAAAAUUGGUUUUUUAGCAUCCAUUCGAUGUUUUGCUUUUAUUUCAGAUGAUUCAUAAUAUGCUUACACUGUAACUAUGGAAAGCUAUUGUUCUACAAUGUUAGAUUGUCAAUUUAGAAUUCAACUGUUAAAAUUAUUGGAAACUGCUAAGUUUGAGAGAGAAAAAUUAGAAAGAAAUAUCAGAUUAACUAAGCAAGAAGGUAAGUUCUUAAUUACAAUUUUUUGUUGGCUACCAUCAUGAGAGCUGAACUAAGAACACUAAAGAAGUGUUGAUACUUGUAAUCAGUGAGUUGUAUUAAAAGAGAAAGACCAAGUUUAGGUUUGAAAUAUUUUAUCCAGCCAGAAGUCAGUAGAGUAAUAUAUGAAAAGAUCCAAAUAAAAAAGUAUAUAUUAAAUGUAAAUUUAAUGCAGUUUAUUUGGAGAAUACUAUUUGAAAUUCAUUUAUUAAUAUAUGUGAUUUAAUUUAUCUGCAUUUUAUGUUUAUACAUUUAUUUAAAAAAAAAAACAUUUUAAUUUGUUUGUGUACAAACUUGGCCAAUAAUAAAGAUUGCAUCACAUAACUAGUAACUAGGCAAUGUGAAACACCGUAGACAUAAACAAAAAAUUAACACUUCAGUCAAAGUUCUAGAAUAUUAGUGCAAUUGUUUUUUUUAGCUUUUAUAAAGAAAUUAGCCUUGAUUGAUGGGUCGGUUUACACAAAUGGUAAAAACAUGUUAGUCGAAGCUGGUUACUGUGACAAUACAGAGAUCAUACAUACUGAUGUGCAGAAAGUUAAUUUCAUCUAUAAUCACCAACCCUCGGAAUUAUGGGUCGGCAUUUGGCAAUGUCGAUCUAAAAGUGUUUGAGACUGGCAAAAAAUUGCCAACACUGUUUCUAUGUUUUAUGGUAACCUUUUUGUGUCAAAUUCGCUGACCUCUAACAGUUUGAGCAAUUUUUUGCUAGGCAAUUUAUUACUGACCUUAUUUUUCCUAAUUUCGAGGGUUGACUUACUAAUUAAAUAGCGAAUCUUUAACAGCAUAUUAUCUUGUAUUCAUUUAACUUUUUUUACUUUUAGAAUUCUGAAUAAAAAUUCAUUCAAUGAAUAAACUUGGUUAUUUUGAUCUCGUAUAAAUUCACUAUAUACUACUUACGUCAUUGAGAAGGUGCAAUAUGACUCAAGCAGCAUUCUUUUAGUGAUAAGGUGUACGAAGAUGCGGUCAACACGGUGGCGGGUACAAAGGGGGUAACUACCCCCUCCUGAAUGAAUUUCUCAUGAAUUAGUUUCUUAUUUAGAAAACAAAAGUGUGUUAAAUACUAUUUUAAAUAAAUUACAACUGAUUUUACUAUUUUAAA